UGCCCCCUACGGGGGGCAGCAGUGAGGAAUAUUGGUCAAUGGGCGGGAGCCUGAACCAGCCAAGCCGCGUGAGGGAAGAAGGUACAGCGUAUCGUAAACCUCUUUUGUCAGGGAACAAAGGCGGGGACUAGUCCCCGGAUGAGGGUACCUGAAGAAAAAGCAUCGGCUAACUCCGUGCCAGCAGCCGCGGUAAUACGGAGGAUGCGAGCGCUAUCCGGAUUUAUUGGGUUUAAAGGGUGCGCAGGCGGCCUGUUAAGUCAGCGGUAAAAGCCAGGGGCUCAACCCCGGCGAGGCGUUGAAACGUG
rnacentral:rRNA from 1 species